AGUGAACGCUGGCGGUAGGCCUAACACAUGCAAGUCGAACGGCAGCACAGUAAGAGCUUGCUCUUACGGGUGGCGAGUGGCGGACGGGUGAGGAAUACAUCGGAAUCUACUUUUUCGUGGGGGAUAACGUAGGGAAACUUACGCUAAUACAGCAUACGACCUACGGGUGAAAGCAGGGGAUCUUCGGACCUUGCGCGUUUGAAUGAGCUGAUGUCGGAUUAGCUAGUUGGCGGGGUAAAGGCCCACCAAGGCGACGAUCCGUAGCUGGUCUGAGAGGAUGAUCAGCCACACUGGAACUGAGACACGGUCCAGACUCCUACGGGAGGCAGCAGUAGGGAAUAUUGGACAAUGGGCGCAAGCCUGAUCCAGCCAUACCGCGUGGGUGAAGAAGGCCUUCGGGUUGUAAAGCCCUUUUGUUGGGAAAGAAAAGCAGCAGGUUAAUACCCCGCUGUUCUGACGGUACCCAAAGAAUAAGCACCGGCUAACUUCGUG
rnacentral:rRNA from 1 species